rnacentral:lncRNA from 1 species
CCUUGUCUCCUUUAGCGGCAUUUGUAGGGUUGAGUAUUUCUUAGCGGUGGUGGUUGCGUGGUGGUCCGAUGGUUUUGGCUGAGGCUAUGAUCUCACGUAUUGGAACUGAAUGGUUGGAUGUGGUGUGUGCACCCCAAGUCCUCCUUGGUUUUCUCUACUGGAUCCACAAUGGUUAGGGUUCGCUUGGGGUGGUGGCUUGACG